GAUGAACGCUGGCGGCGUGCCUAAUACAUGCAAGUCGAGCGAACGGACGAGAAGCUUGCUUCUCUGAUGUUAGCGGCGGACGGGUGAGUAACACGUGGAUAACCUACCUAUAAGACUGGGAUAACUUCGGGAAACCGGAGCUAAUACCGGAUAAUAUUUUGAACCGCAUGGUUCAAAAGUGAAAGACGGUCUUGCUGUCACUUAUAGAUGGAUCCGCGCUGCAUUAGCUAGUUGGUAAGGUAACGGCUUACCAAGGCAACGAUGCAUAGCCGACCUGAGAGGGGGAUCGGCCACACUGGAACUGAGACACGGUCCAGACUCCUACGGGAGGCAGCAGUAGGGAAUCUUCCGAAAUGGGCGAAAGCCUGACGGAGCAACGCCGCGUGGGUGAUGAAGGUCUUCGGAUCGUAAAACUCUGUUAUUAGGGAAGAACAUAUGUGUAAGUAACUGUGCACAUCUUGACGGUACCUAAUCAGAAAGCCACGGCUAACUACGUG
rnacentral:rRNA from 1 species